GUAGGCUUCCAGAAGAACUUACAGCCCAGAUAAGUGAAGUAAUGGUCCCUUUGGAAAAAAAAUGUCUUCUGAACUCAUUAAGUGCGGGAAAUAAACAUAGAUUAUUAAUAUGAGGGAAAUGAUAACAACAAAGAUAUUCAUCUUCUUGCUAUCGUUUGCGCUUCAUUAAAGACUUACAAGGAUUGUUAUAUGCCCACAUUUUAUGUAAGAGCAUAAAAGAAGAAAACCUAUUUUGCAUACAGG